CAGUAGCCACGGUAAUACGAAGGGGGCUAGCGUUGUUCGGAUUUACUGGGCGUAAAGGGCGCGUAGGCGGACUGAUAAGUCAGGGGUGAAAUCCCAAGGCUCAACCUUGGAACUGCCUUUGAUACUGUUUGUCUUGAGUUCGAGAGAGGUAAGUGGAACUGCGAGUGUAGAGGUGAAAUUCGUAGAUAUUCGCAAGAACACCAGUGGCGAAGGCGGCUUACUGGCUCGAAACUGACGCUGAGGCGCGAAAGCGUGGGGAGCAAACAGGAUUAGAUACCCCCGUAGUCCCUGUCUCUUAUAC
rnacentral:rRNA from 1 species